UGACCUCGAACAGACUCAAAUCUAGACCUCAAUGUAGACUCUAUUUUUGAAGCAAAAUUCAGAAUUAAAAUGAAGAAUUAGAAUAUUUUCUAUUGUUUAAAAUUCUAGGACUUUUGUAAUUGGAUCCCCAAUGUUCGUGUCCAAAUCUCCUCUCCUUGUUCGUAUAUAUGAGUUGCGGCUGAAACUUAGGCGACGGAGUUGAAGGUUUGUGGUGUGCCGUUACUAAUGCUGUCAACGAUGGGUGGUGGAAGACGGCGAAGCUGGUCGGAGUGGGAUGGCGGAGGCAACUGAUUCUCUUUGGUUUCUGUCGUGAUUUUAAGAGAGAGAACGGCUGGUUAAGAAGGUCAAGGCUAUGGUCGUUUUUAGUUCAAGAAGAUGGUAUUUUUUCUUGUUCUCAUGAAGAAGGUCACGACUGGCUCUUAGCUUGAAGGAUUCUAGGGUUUCAUGUUGUCUUAUGUCUAAGGUUGACG
rnacentral:lncRNA from 1 species